rnacentral:tRNA from 1 species
GCCUGGAUAGCUCAGCCGGGUGAGCGUCUGACUCUCGAUUUCGGCUCAGGUCAUAACCUCACAGCUCGUGGGUUCAAGCCCCACAUCGGGCC